GUGGUUAGAGUGUAGAGGCGGCAGGGUAGCCUAGUGGUUAGAGUGUAGAGGCGGCAGGGUAGCCUAGUGGUUAGAGUGUAGAGGCGGCAGGGUAGCCUAGUGGUUAGAGUGUAGAGGCGGCAGGGUAGCCUAGUGGUUAGAGUGUAGAGGCGGCAGGGUAGCCUAGUGGUUAGAGUGUAGGGGCGGCAGGGUAGCCUAGUGGUUAGAGUGUAGAGGCGGCAGGGUAGCCUCGUGGUUAGAGUGUAGAGGCGGCAGGGUAGCCUCGUGGUUAGUGUAGAGGCGGCAGGGUAGCCUCGUGGUUAGAGUGUAGAGGCGGCAGGGUAGCCUCGUGGUUAGAGUGUAGAGGCGGCAGGGUAGCCUCGUGGUUAGAGUGUAGAGGCGGCAGGGUAGCCUCGUGGUUAGAGUGUAGAGGCGGCAGGGUAGCCUCGUGGUUAGAGUGUAGAGGCGGCAGGGUAGCCUCGUGGUUAGAGUGUAGAGGCGGCAGGGUAGCCUCGUGGUUAGAGUGUAGAGGCGGCAGGGUAGCCUCGUGGUUAGAGUGUAGAGGCGGCAGGGUAGCCUCGUGGUUAGAGUGUAGAGGCGGCAGGCUAGCCUCGUGGUUAGAGUGUAGAGGCGGCAGGGUAGCCUCGUGGUUAGAGUGUAGAGGCGGCAGGGUAGCCUCGUGGUUAGAGUGUAGAGGCGGCAGGGUAGCCUCGUGGUUAGAGCCUUGGACUAGUAACCGGAAGGAUACAAGUUCAAACACCCGAGCUGACAAAAUCCAGUAGUAUACUUCAUUAGACUGUAAAUCCAGAGGUAUACUUCAUUAGACUGUAAAUCCAGUAGUAUACUUCAUUAGACUGUAAAUCCAGAGGUAUAUUUCAUUAGACUGUAAAUCCAGUAGUAUACUUCAUUAGACUGUAAAUCCAGAGGUAUAUUUCAUUAGACUGUAAAUCCAGUAGUAUACUUCAUUAGACUGUAAAUCCAGGGGUAUAUUUCAUUAGACUGUAAAUCCGGGGGUAUACUUCAUUAGACUGUAAAUCCAGGGGUAUACUUCAUUAGACUGUAAAUCCAGGGGUAUACUUCAUUAGACUGUAAAUCCAGGGGUAUAUUUCAUUAGACUGUAAAUCCAGGGGUAUACUUCAUUAGACUGUAAAUCCAGGGGUAUACUUCAUUAGACUGUAAAUCCAGGGGUAUACUUCAUUAGACUGUAAAUCCAGAGGUAUACUUCAUUAGACUGUAAAUCCAGGGGUAUACUUCAUUAGACUGUAAAUCCAGAGGUAUACUUCAUUAGACUGUAAAUCCAGGGGUAUACUUCAUUAGACUGUAAAUCCAGGGGUAUACUUCAUUAGACUGUAAAUCCAGGGGUAUACUUCAUUAGACUGUAAAUCCAGUAGUAUACUUCAUUAGACUGUAAAUCCAGGGGUAUACUUCAUUAGACUGUUACAAUAUUUGCCCAUUAUUCUUUAAAAAAGUCUGCAAGCUCUGUCAAGUUGAUUGUUGGUCAUUGAAAGACAGCCAUUUGCAAGUCUUGCAAUAGAUGUUCAAGCUGAUUUCAGACAACUUUAACUCUGUCACUCAGGAACAUUCAAAGUCUUGUUUGGUAUGCAACUCCCGUGUAGAUUUGGAAUUGUGUUUUAGGUUAUUGUCCAGGUGAAAGGUGAAUUCGUCUCCCAGUGUCUGGUGGAAAGCAGACUGAACCAGGUUUUCCUCUAGGAUUUUGCGUGUGCUGAACUUAUUUAGGCUUGUGCCAUAACAAAGGGGUUGAAUACUCGUUGAUUCAAGACAUAUCAGCUUCACAAUUUAAUUAAUUUCUAAAAUGUUCAACAAACUAAAUUCCCCUUUGACGUCGUGGGGUAUUGUGUGUAGGCCAGUGACAUGCAAUCUACUGUAUUUAAAAUGGAGGCUGAAAUACAGCAACAUGACCAUGGAUGACUGUAUAGACUUUUGACCCUGUG